UACGUAGGGACCGAGCGUUGUCCGGAAUCAUUGGGCGUAAAGAGCGCGUAGGCGGCUAGAUAAGUCCGGUGUGAAAGUCACAGGCUCAACCUGUGAAUGCCGCUGGAAACUGUCUGGCUAGAGUCCGGAAGGGGCGAGUGGAAUUCCUGGUGUAGCGGUGAAAUGCGCAGAUAUCAGGAGGAACACCAAUGGCGAAGGCAGCUCGCUGGGACGGUACUGACGCUGAGGCGCGAAAGCGUGGGGAGCAAACAGG
rnacentral:rRNA from 1 species